UGUAAAUUUAACCAACGCCCUUAAAAAAGCGUAUUAGGAGUUGGCUGUUCACUUUCUCUGGGCAGAGCACAGAGCCUAGCUGAAUGAUUUGCCAGAGACGUAGAAACCCUCUGGAGUCUAAGAAGUUCUUUGCGAGCUAAGUUUGAAGGGAGAAGUUUUCACACAUAUUCAGAUGCGCCAGCUGUCACUACCGGAGUUGUCAAAUAGGGAGCCAAAAGAAAGCUGACAGCAACAACUCAUGGAAGGAUCGAUGGCGGAUUACGAGGCUCAUGGAGCUGCAUAGAGAGGAGGGCUCAGACUGAGGCUGCAGCUCUCAUUAAAACCCGUCCUGAUCUCAGCCAAGCCCUGGGAAAGGACGGGAGUCGACCGCCAGAGCAGACCCGCGGGAGCAGCCAGACAUGAGGUUGAAUUCGAUUAGACAGUAAUCGGAGAUGGACAGCCAGUGGUGCAGUCAGUGUUAGCAAGCCGAAGGGACUCCAUAAGCAAACUAUCACCAUGACUUUUCUAUUUCAUGCCAUUCACCGAGGCGGCCGUAUAGCAUGCUUGCAAUCCACGCUGCAUGUUCCAAAGCCAAGCUGCGUUUCAGGGUUUGUUUUUAAUUCUCACAAACGCCCUCUGGAGUGCAAGCAGUAAUAAUAUCAGGUGAUAAGAGGGGACUCAUUAAUGAAUUACCUACCAGCCUGAUCUCAGUGCCGCAUGUGCCGUCUCCCUGGGCAAAGCAGCAAAGCUGAUGUCUAGGGGAAUUGUUCACAUUGUAUAGCAUUUUCUGAGAGGCUUCCACAUCUACGCACAAUCUCCUUCCUCUCCGUGUAUCUCUUUCUUUCUCUCCCUGCUACUGAGCUGUUGUUUUCCUCCUGCCUUGCUUGGCAUUCUGUUCAUUCUCCAAGAUGUUUCCAGCGUAACCAGUGAUUAACAAUUAUGCCAGUGCAUCUAAUUAAUGCUGGCUAAUUAUGAGGUUGAGAUGCUGACAGGGAACGGGAGGGAGGGCGGUGUAGGACGGGAAGAUUGCAGCAUCAGAAAUAAUCAGGAGAAGAAGAGGUUGUAGAAAGAAAAAAGACAGAGAGAGCGAGACGAUUGGAAGUGAGUGUCAUAAUUGGCAUGCUCAGUUUUUGUCUCAGGACCCAGAGCUUAUUACUUAGAAAUAUGGAUAACGUGUGCAUAAAAUUAUAGAUGGUACACUCACUCAUCUAAUUUGUAGGCCAUGUGGAUCACAUUUAGAAAAAAAGAAAAGAAAAACAGGAUGUGUUUUUUUCCCUUCUGUACUGGAUGGGAAUAAUGUUUAAACCACACAAGGUCCCUGGAGUUGCAGGGAAACUCAAGCCAUAAUUAUGUCCAUAAAAUGCCCACAGAUUUUUAAUGUUAAACUAAUUUGCUGUUCAUUUGUCCCCAACUGGUAAACUGAAAUAGUGAACACAAACAGGACAGUGCAGGACGCACACACCAAGACCUUUAAUAUAUAUAAAAUUGCAUGAACUAACAAUAGCUCUCUCUUCAUUUACUCAGGUUUUUUUCCCCCUUUACAAUCCUCCGAAGAAGCGCACAACAGAUCCCAACCCACUUCCCCAUCGCAAGCAAUACUUCAUCAGGAAAAUAGCCAAGAAAAACGACCUCUCUCCACGGCUCAUAAUUAGGCUGCAUGGAGCAUUCAUUAGCAUAGUCAGUGUCUGCAGCCCUACGGUAUGUUGGAGCUUUAUGUUCAGUGACGUUUUUAUUCCUACAACCAUUCUGUAAGGGCUCCAUAAUAAUGUCCAAGGAAGAAAACACAUCAUAUAUUAAAGGAACAUGAUUUUUGCUUCCUAUUCAAAUGAGCACAUCUAAAGAGAGCGAAGGCAGAGGAACAAAAGGGUUUGGGGAAUUACCCAGAGAAUAGUAAUUAUAUUCAGAGGAGCCUGUGAUUUAGUGCAUGCUUGUUGUUUUCGUCUUCCCAUGCAGAGCAGAGGUAGGAGGCUGUGCAGCUCAGAGCGGUGACACUGGCCCUCCCCGGUCUUCCGAAAUGCAUUAAACUCAGUGAUUGACAAUGAUUGAAACCACACGGAGCCUGAGGCAAAUUACCAGAGCUGAGUUUCAGAUCUGCAGGUCUGCUGUCUCUCCGCUCUUUACAAUUCGUAUGAAGCUUUUUGAAAAGGAUAUUUGUUUGUCAUACAAAUAUAGUGCACGGUACAAGAGUGACAAGAGAGGUUGGUACAGAGGAGUGCUUUUACACCCUGUAAGGCAGAAUAGCACCCAAUGAUUUCUGAGAGGCUGAGCUAACAUGGUGGCCUCAAAACACACUCAGAACAGCAGCCGGAGAAGCCAGGGCCAAUAAGCUCGACUCCAGUGAUGUUUGUCAAUAUAAUGUUGAACACCAGUGGGUUAUGUUUAGCAGUGUCAAAGCAGCUAUUUGUGUUUGAGAUGCUGUAUUCAAUAGCGCUUCCACCAGGCAGACCUGAGCCUGAGUGGAUUCCCAUGUAUCUUCCAAGUCCUUACCCUUUUAGUGUCAAGGAAGGAAGCAUUAUGUUCGAUGGCAAACUUAAAUAGUAAAUCAAUAACGCUAUAUUUUCAUUCCAGAAGAUGCAUCUUAGUCAAUAUUCUACAUCAUUCAUUCUAACUUCUAUGUUUUACCAGUGUCAUUAGCCCUGCAUCCAUUUCUAACCUUGUAACAUCAAAUAAUGCUUUACAAAGUGAUACACAGCUUCCAUCAAAGCAAAAGCAAACUUUUUUAGUGCAUUUCAAGAUCACGUCUGAAAAUAAAAAUUCAAGGCUUGUACACCA